CACUGGUAGCAAGACCACUCUGGGGAGGGACAGUUGAGAUGCAACUAAAGAACCAGGGGUGGUCAGCCAUGCAAUGUCGGGGCGGGAAGGGUAUCUUUCGAGGCUGAGGAAACAGCAGGUUGAGAAUGGUGGUGAGAAGGAGCUGAAGUGUCUGCAGCAGAUAGGCGCGUAUCGGGACUGCAGCUGAGUGAAUGGGUAAGGGCCACCACAGGUGACCCGGGCGAGGCUGUGGGAGGAGUUUGGGUUUCAUGGAAGGGCACAGGAGAGAUUUAAGUGCAGGGCUGACCAGCUCUGACUUGUAUUUUUAAAAGAUCCCUCUGGCUGCUAGGUGGGGACCAGAUGUGAGGGGCGAGAGGUGAACCAGGGAGACCCAUGGCUGGGAGGCUGGGGUGCAAGGGGGCAGGCAAGCAAGGAUGGGGUCUUGGGCCAUGGCGAUACUGCAGAGCUAGAGGGAAAUACGUGGGUUUGGGAAUCAUUGUAAAUGAGACAGGGCAGGCCAAUGACUGUGAGUAGAAAGGGGAGAGAGGAGUUCACAGCCUCUGUGACAGCCCCGCUGUGACACUGCUGUCCCCAUCUUGACUGAGACUAUCAUAUUAUAGAAAAGAAAAGGUUUCCCAUGUAGGCUGCCACACCAUCUACUGACCUGAGCCCAAAGCCCCUCGUCUGGGCUGUUAACGCUAUAAAAAUCUCCAACAACUGAUUCCUUUAAGCUACUGCAGAAGGGUUCUUGUGGGAGGCAGGAGCUAGGCUAUGCAUGCAGAUGAGGCCCUUCCUCUGCAAAGCCACAGGGAAGCCCCUUACCCAGGCUCCCAAAUACCGUGCCCCCUCCAUGGUAGAAGAUGAUGCCUCGCCGGGGUCUGGAGGAUGCUGCCUUGGGCUGGAACAGCCUCACGGGUAUCGUCCCAAAACGCAGGUCGGUCACCACAAGUUCAGGGUCCUUCUUAAUUCUCACGCUAUCAUGUAAAAAACGGAUAAAUUUGGGCAUGGAGCAAAUUCCCAGCUUCUCAAAUAUAUUCCCCUGUUGGAGGCAAUCAAAGAAAGCCAGACGUUAGGAGAGGUUAGAAUCCGGAUGGUGGAUCCCUGACACUUAGAAUUGUUAGGAUGUUUUCGUAGUUUCUCACCUGCCUCCUAUAGGUACAGGGGCUCUUCAGGAAUCCAUGGGCUCUGGAUUGUGUCCAGGUAGGGGGCUGGGUUUUCCAACUUUUCUUCCCAAGGGCUCUUGAUGAAAUAAUGAUGUGAAUUUGCCAAAGGGUAGCCUAGCUUGGGGCUGACUGGAAAGAAGCCACUGACUUAGAAAAGUCAAUUGUUGACUGGGUGCGGUGGUUCACGCCUGAUAUUCCAGCACUUUGGGAGGCUGAGGUGGACAGAUCACGAGGUCAGGAGAUCAAGACCAUCCUGGCCGACAUGGUGAAACCCCCUCUCUACUAAAAUUACAAAAAUUAGCUGGGUGUGGUGGCAAGUACCUGUAGUCCCAGCUAUUCGGGAGGCUGAGGCAGGAGAAUCGCUUGAACCUGGGAGUCAGAGGUUGCAGUGAGCCGAGAUCGUGCCACAGCACUCCAGGCUGGCAACAGAGCGAGACUCCAUCUCGGGGGAAAAAAAAAAAGAAAAA
ensembl:lncRNA